GAUCUUACAAGAUGGCUUACAAAUCUAGGUAUCAAACAGAAUUUCGGUAAUAUAUAUUAUGUAUACGGUACUUGGAAGGGAUGCUUACCAGGUAAAUACCACUUAAAAUCUAGGUCGAGUAACUAUCCAGUUGCAGAUUCACUGCAAGUUUGUGCGACAGAUAUACAUACAUAUAUAUAUAUAGAUCAACUAGGAUUUAGGUUUAACUCUAUGGUACAAUUAACUAAGGAGAAGAGGGUAGAUUGUACUACCUGAUUGCUUGUUGUACAUCCGAAAGAGAUUCAGUUGCUCUGAAUAUUCUGAUUUGCCACAUGGUCGCCAGUGUGAAUAGCGCCUUCAUGAGCGAAUCUUUUAAUGACGUAAUUACCAUCCAGCCAUUCGGCCUUUCCAACGAACAACAUACAAGCUUUGUUCUCUGAAGUUUAAGAAUAAUGCAACCAUCUUGCCUUUCCAAAGAAUAACAUAUAUAUUUUUAACCUUAAUAGUGCAGCCAGCUAGUUGUAGUGCACUUAUCUCUAAGCCCAGCUCCUCUUUAAUCCAUAAACUUAUCCGUAACCAAAGGCUAGAUGUAUAUUCAAUGUAAUUCUAUUCAUUGAGUUGAGUUUCUUACUUCGGUAUGGCCUGGGGUAUAGUAAGUUCCAUUUCAAUGUUCCAGGGACCACUUCCAGUAAGUUUCCACUCGACAUCAGUAGUAAUGUCCACUACCUGUAUCAGCAUGGUUAUAGAAGUAGAUAAUCAGGGCAAAUAUCAUAAGCAAAUUACAACUUUAGAAUCUCUGAAUUCUAAUAGUUUUCUAAUAUCCUUCAAAACAUGAUGUGUGAGCGCUCUUUAGGUAUUCCAGUAAGUUUCUUUCUACAAGUGUUCUUACAUCUCCUGAAUGGAUGAUUCUCUUUGCAUUUCGGCCGCUCGGCCCACUUCCGAUGAUCCACUACAUCAUCAUUGUUUGGUAACUGGUUAGAUACUCUUCAAUCUCCUUAUACUGAAGCAGUUAUGAUUGAGUAGUACAUUGUUAUCAUUCUCAACAACUUCAUUCAUGACACCUUUGAUACUCAUGUAUGAGAAAGAACUUUCAGCGAUCAAGUUACUUUAUUUGACUUCAUGUUGUUCAGGAGGGGAGGCCGCAAGGCGGGACAGCCAGCAGCGGCAUUCUGUUCGGGGAUGUGUGGAUCUGGUGAUGCUGGAGCGUGGUAACAAGAAACAUCAUAUCCGCAAAGGCGUUUCAAAUAGCCAAUUUACCUUUCUCCCUAAACGUUUCUUGCUCUGCUGUCAGUAUCACUGGUCUUGGGGUUUAGAUUUUGUCAAUAUCAAAAUUUGGGUACUUACCAGCAAACGAGUUGUUGAUCUAUUUACUUAGUCAAGUUCAUUUCUGCUAUGUUCUUCAGUCAAGCUUUAACUUCUAGCCUUGAUUAAAUGGCAAUGAUAUUCUCCAAAACCUACUGAUGUUAGAAAUCCUGCUACCCAACAGGAUGGUCUGCCAAGUGAUGUGAGCACUACUCAGUGUGUGGCAGACGUUCAUUAGGAUUGCAAACAAGAUUUGAGAUGUAGGUGUUGGUCAAAUUUUGGAAAAUUAUGGGUCUGCAGGUACAAAAUUACAUGUAGGAAAUUUUACGGUUUUCUGUGAUUAAAGAUUCAAGCAUGAAUGUGAAUAUAGUUCCAAGGUUUUUUUGCUAACAUGUUUUCUUAUAUUUACUUCUCUUUGUAUGAUAUUGGAAUUUAUAUGCUUACUUAACUGCUCAAAGAUAUCUGUUUUGUUUGUCGAUUGGAAGUUACCACAUUAAGCUUGAGUCCAUGUGAAUUGACACACUAUUUGGAACAAAAUAAAACUUAGUACUGUACUACAGUUUGGUGGUUAAAUUACUCCUUACCUCGACAUUCUAAUAAUCUGUAAUAAGGAUAGUUCGCAUUGGUCAUGCAAGAUCACUUGCGGGAAAUUGAUGGCUUGUUGUUGUUGUGCUUCACAAUUUCUGUUGUUUCUAUUUAUUUUACACUUUUUUAUUUACUGCAAUUUGCAAAACAGAAGUACUAGCAUAACUGGAAUUUCUGUUUGUGUUUUUUACAGAGGGAACAUAGUCUGAUGGGACAGCUCCUAAAUCAAUGUCACAUAAGGCAACAACAUAUUUGGAGGAGUUGAAGGAGUUGAGAUGAGUUGAUCACAUCCUCAUGUGUCUUUGCAUGUUGCAACAGGGGCGGUGUACUUUUUUUAGAUAGAAGAACUUAUGGGGCACAUCAGAUGUACUGACCACUCCUUAGUCCCAAGAACAGGAGUAACAAUUUUCUCAAGUUCUGUUGUUGUAUUGUACUAGAAGUAUGUUCAUCAAACUGCCUUAUCAACCAUUU
rnacentral:lncRNA from 1 species